GCCAACCCGGUCAGGUCCGGAAGGAAGCAGCCG
rfam:Gluconobacter oxydans 621H, complete genome.